AUAACGCGAAGCAACCUUACCUACUCUUCACAUCCAGAGAACUUUCCAGAGAUGGAUUGGUGCCUUCGGGAACUCUGACACAGGUGCUGCAUGGCUGUCGUCAGCUCGUGUAUGAGGUGAAAUGUUGGGUUAAGUCCCGCAACGAGCGCAACCCUAUUAUCCUUUGUUGCCAGCGGUUCGGCCGGGAACUCAAAGGAGACUGCCAGUGAUAAACUGGAGGAAGGUGGGCAUGAAGUCAAGUCAUCAUGGCCCUUACGAGUAGGGCUACACACGUGCUACAAUGGCGUAUACAAAGAGAAGCGACCUCGCGAGAGCAAGCGGACCUCAUAAAGUACGUCGUAGUCCGGAUUGGAGUCUGCAACUCGACUCCAUGAAGUCGGAAUCGCUAGUAAUCCUAGAUCACAAUGCUACGAGGGAAUACGUUCCCGGGCCUUGUACACACCGCCCCUCACACCAUGGGAGUGGGUUCUAAAAGAAGUAGGUAGCUUAACCUUCGGGAGGGCGCUUAUCACUUUGUGAUUCAUGACUGGGGUGAAGUCGUAACAAGGUAGGCCGUAA
rnacentral:rRNA from 1 species